GAAGACACUUUAAAAAAUAACACAGCACAACUCGUUUUACUACAUUACCUGGUUUCUGGGUCACCAAUAACCUCAAAGUCUUAACUUCCUUUUAACACCUUCCCCAGCAUGGAUGUCUGUGCACAGCCAGGGACUAGGUUUUAUCGUGGAUACAUAGCAUCUGUUUUAAUCUGUCCAGUCAGCCACUGCAUUUCAUGAAAGAAUUCUGUAAUUUCUACCCUUCUGCCUUGAAAAAAACCAGGUCCACCUCCUAAAUAAUUAAUUUCAAGUCUGUAUCCAGUGCCAAUACUUGUUGCAUCCAUUUGAGAGUUUGAUUAAUUGCCCUGGAACUUGGGCAAACUAAACUCCAUGUGGAGAGAAUGCGUCUGCCUUCAGUUUAGUUCUGAAAGCUACACAUUAUUGAUGGAUCUUACUCUAUUUACAUACAAAUCGGUGCAAAUAUGCCCAUCUCUUCAAAUGCGUUUUGUAUAAAUAUAUAAAAGUGUCAUUUUUGAUUUAGCUUGAGCGGUUGAUCAUUUAUUACAAAAAUAAACGAAUAAAUACAACAAUAUAUUGUUGCUUCCAACAAGAUAAAUACUUUUACAAAUAUAUAAUUUUAAAACAAAUUUAAUUGUUAAAAUUAUUUAAAAUAUUACACUUAUCGAUAAAACUAUCAAUAGUAUAUACUGCAUUUAAUAUUAGAACCAAUUAUUCUCUGAAUUUUGAAACCAUUCAUACAAAACAUUAUGAGCAUGGUAGUGAGCAAACACUGGAGGCUACAAGGAAGCAGAGGGACUCUCUAAGAUCAAGAAUGAACAGUUCUGUUUGGGAACAAAGAAGCAGUCCUUGGCUAAGGACUAAAAAAAAGGGCAGAGAAACAACAGCAAAACGACUAUUUUACAUACACCUUGAAUGACUUAUCGCCCAGACUUGCAGGGGAAGAUGGUUGGGUGAAUGAGAUGGCUGAGGCUUGGACCACAGGUCGGGAGCCACAGGAGUCUGCAGACUACCAAUGGGCCUAGUUUGGGAUUAGCCAGAUUGAUGGAACAGAACUUUGUCACUUUCCUUUGGGCUGGGAGGGGAGGAGGGCUGGAUUGAAAUGGGGGAAACAAAUGGCUACUUUACAAAGCACAAGACACUUGCUCUGCAAAGAAACACAAUGACCAAAUUCAUUAAAAAGAUCUGGUGAUAUAUAACAAUAUUUUCAUUAUUUACGUGUAUAACAAUAUAAGCCUAACACAAACCUCUCAGUUAUAGCUGCUCUCUUUUGUUUUUCAACCAUGAAUUUCAUUUUGUAGAUACAUUCAAAGGGUUGAUUUUCAAAAUAUGGAGUGCCAGCAUUAGCUCACUUUAAAAAUGCAAAAUAAUGAAAUAAAAUGGUCUUGCUUUUCCAGCUUCUCCAAUUAAAAGUUACUCUGUUACCCCUAAAUCAGGACUUCUUCCAAAGUAAUCAGCAAAGGUUGCUCUUUAAUGGGAAACAGUGUGAAAUCGAAUGGUAGUUCUUUUGUUGUCAGUCAAAUCAAGUAAGCAAAUAGCUCCUAAAAUUUUAUACAGACCCACUGUCCAAUCGACCACUGCCAUUCCUGGUGGGGAAACAGGACUUCAUCUCACGUGCCAGUGGUACCCAUCAUUGAAAACAGCCACACCCAAUCCUCAGCUUUCCAAUAAGGCCUUCUUGGCUUGCCCCUGUAGACCCUCAAGAACUGAUGAAGUUUAUAUCCACUCAGGUUUUAAAUUUGCUGGGCAGGGAGAUUACAAUAGCAAGAGAAAGAAGGAAACAAGAAAGCCUAGAAAAGUAAAUCGUGGUUUCUUAUUUUCAUUUUUUCUUCUUUCUGUUUAAUAAAUAUGGCCUUUUUCAGAUUUCACAAAUCAAAAUGAUUGUGAUUUUUAGUACUAUCUGGUGUUUAAAAUAAUGCAACCCAACACACGGCCAUCUGGCUAGGCUUGAUUUAUGAAAGUGACACAGGGUCUGUCUGGAAGAAAUAACUGCUCCUUGUUGCUCGCACAGUUUUCCGGGUUUUUUAACCCCUACAUUGAUAUCUUAGGGGGAGGAAGUGAGGAUGAGAGAAGGCAAAAAGUGAGUGACAGCUAAAUGGGAUUAGGGGGAAAUUACCCUAUAAAAUCACUGCUUUAUCACCCCAAAUACUUUUAAAAAGUCCAGUAUGAAAGGACUCAACUAAGCAGAGUCUUUAGUACUCACAACCUGAGGCAUCACACUUUCGCUUUCCCACAUGGUAAAUAUUGAUACAUUGAUGUGAUAAAUGUGGCCGCUCUGCAGGAUAUAUCUAAGGAGUGAUCCAAAAGCUAAAACCCCAGGGUCAGUGAAGGUACAGAAUCACACUGGAGAAACACCAAAACACAGACAUGUAGACUUUUAGGUCUGAGCUGGUAAUCACACCGAGGGUAAAGCAGUGUGGACCCCAGUCAGGAUUUUGGAACUCCAUUCUUUCAUUACAGAAACAAACAAACAAAACAAAACAAACCCUAAACCAGCUUAAUAAUUUAAACUUAAUUACAUAAUAUCAAUGGAAUAGUUGUAAGCUAUUCUUCCCAACUAUUAGUCUUCAGAAAAAGAAGAAAGAAACAUAGCAAUGUGGUGGGGGAGGAGAGGAAAAAGAGGCUAAACUUUGGAAAAGGGCUCUGUAUUAACCAUUAAUAACCAGCUGGCACUUUUUUUACUGGUGAUGUAAUCCACUCUUUUGAUAAAGAUGAUGAAGAACACAGGUAUCUCCAAGAAAAGUAGUAAAUACUCCCCUAAAAACAUCCAUUAAAAUUACAGGAAAGGGAAAGACUGUGAAAUUGACAGCUUACCAGGGAGUGCCGAGUAGUUAGAGCACUAGCAAUUUCUUUCAAGCCUGUCCUUUACUCUAGAUUCCCAAACACACCUUAGCGCCCCAGCGCUACUGGGCUUCCUCAGCGCUAGCACUCAAGGAUAUGCAUUAGUAAAAAAAUAUUUUCCAACUAUUUCUUCCCACACAGUGUUUAUGCAUCAGACACAGACUAUUUCAUUCUAACAAAUUUAUUUUCUCGAUCAGCUCUUACGGAAUCACUACUCAAAUUAAAUUACAAUCAAAUGAUCACAUCAAAAGAUACCCUUAUUACCUAACAACUGUCCAUAUUUUCAUUUCAUUUUGAUUUGUGCUCGUCUGAAAAAAACACGUAAUACAAGAUCUGGGGAAAAAUAAAUUACCAUUUUGCAGCAGUUCAUAAGUAUUCUGAAUAAAAUAUUAAAAGAAGUCAUUUAAUGAAAAUAUAAAGCAAAUAUUUUUAGAUCAGCAACGGAUCUAACAAUCUAUAUUGCCGUCUUUUGAAAAGUCUGUUUAUUAAAACCUACCAAAAACACUGCUUGGAAAUGGCAGUAUUAUAAUCACAGCCGCAGCACCCAUUCGAUCAAAGUUGGCAACGGGUUGAGGAGCGAAGUCCAAGAAGUGCAGCGGCUGGUGCUCAGUCUUUCUAAAUCCCUUUAUGAGUCAGUCCAGAAAUAAAAAAUAAAAAAUAUUAAUAAAAAAAUUAUUAGCGGUGGAAUCCUUAGGCAUCCUCCAUCCCAGAGGCAGCCCUGGCAGCCGGGCUGCGGCGGGCCUCCCUCCAUGCCCAGACUGCGGCCCGCGCCGGCCCUGGGGGCCUCUCCCACUCCGCAACGGAUGAGCGGACGUCCCCUUCGCCCCGGCCCAUCCCUCUGCUCCUUCGUGAUGUUUUUAUUUCCAAGGUUAUUUGAAGGAAACGUGUUCUUUUGGCUUUGCUCUUCAGCUUGUUAAUUUCAGAAGCUGUGGAUAUUAUUUUUUGCUGGAGACUGUUCUUUUUUUCUCCUUCCCGUUUCAUAGUCAGUUUGUCCCCAAAUGACUUCAUAUGGCCAAGAAGAGCUGGUUCCCAGCAGAGGCGUCCCUGAUUCAGCCCGGUGCCUCUGCUGCUUUCAGAGGCUCCCAGGAACCAAGUCCCGGUCGGUCGGUCGGUCACUUUAGGCAGCCCUUUAGAGGGGGGGAAGGGGGCUUUUUUUUUAAGGGGAGAAGGCGAGGCAGGUGCUAGGUGCUGUCCACCAUCGCCCUGGGGGCUUCUCAGGGUGGGCAAAACCUGGCGAGUGCAGUUUUGGUGCGCUAGGCCGCUUCACCCUUUUU